rnacentral:rRNA from 1 species
CUAAGGCUCCAGAGGAAGCCACGGCUAACUCUGUGCCAGCAGCCGCGGUAAUACAGAGGCGGCAAGCGUUGUUCAGAAUUAUUGGGCGUAAAGAGCACGUAGGCGGCCUUGCAAGUCAGUUGUGAAAGCCUUCCGCUUAACGGAAGAAUGCCAGCUGAUACUACAGGGCUUGAGUACGGGAGGGGAGAGUGGAACUUCUGGUGGAGCGGUGAAAUGCGUAGAUAUCAGAAGGAACGCCGGCGGCGGAAGCGACUCUCUGGCCCGAAACUGACGCUGAGUGUGCGAAAGCUAGGGGAGCAAACGGGAUUAGAUACCCCGGUAGUCCUAGCCGUAAA